rnacentral:rRNA from 1 species
GAUGAACGCUGGCGGCGUGCUUAAUACAUGCAAGUCGAGCGAAAGGACGCGAAGCUUGCUGCUCUGACGUUAGCGGCGGACGGGUGAGUAACACGAGGAUAAUGUCCCUAUCUGAGUGGGAAAUCUUCGGGACACGGGAGAUAAUACCGGAUGAUCUUUUGAACCGCAUGGUUGGUAAGUGAAAGUCGGCCGUGGUGUAACUUAUAGCUGGAUAGCCGCUGCAUUGGGUAGUUGGUAAGGUCACGGCUUACCAAGGCAACGAUGCAUAGCCGAGCUGGGAGGGUGAUCGGCCACAUGGGAACGUGAACGCGGUCCUUGCGCCUGCGGUAGGGAGCAGUAUGGAAUCUGCCGCAAUGGGCGAAAGCCUGACGGAGCAGCGCCGCGUGAGUGAUGAAGGUCUUCGGAUCGUAAAACUCUGUUAUUAGGUAAGAACAUAUGUGUAAGUAACUGUGCACUUCUUGACGGUACCUAAUCAGAAAGCCACGGCUAACUACGUG